rnacentral:rRNA from 1 species
AGAGUUUGAUCCUGGCUCAGAUUGAACGCUGGCGGCAUGCCUUACACAUGCAAGUCGAACGGUAACAGGUCUUCGGACGCUGACGAGUGGCGAACGGGUGAGUAAUACAUCGGAACGUGCCCAGUCGUGGGGGAUAACUACUCGAAAGAGUAGCUAAUACCGCAUACGAUCUGAGGAUGAAAGCGGGGGACCUUCGGGCCUCGCGCGAUUGGAGCGGCCGAUGGCAGAUUAGGUAGUUGGUGGGAUAAAAGCUUACCAAGCCGACGAUCUGUAGCUGGUCUGAGAGGACGACCAGCCACACUGGGACUGAGACACGGCCCAGACUCCUACGGGAGGCAGCAGUGGGGAAUUUUGGACAAUGGGCGAAAGCCUGAUCCAGCAAUGCCGCGUGCAGGAUGAAGGCCUUCGGGUUGUAAACUGCUUUUGUACGGAACGAAAAAGCUUCUCCUAAUACGAGAGGCCCAUGACGGUACCGUAAGAAUAAGCACCGGCUAACUACGUG